UACCUGACUCGUUGGCAGCUUGGGCAUCUAUAAACCGUAGCACAAUAAUAAAAACAGAUCUCGGGGUAUUAUCUUUAACAGAGUCAUCAAGGAUCCAGCUUAUUAUUGGCACAUUGGUAAGGAAUUGUUCAUCUGCUACAUUGCAAGGCCACUUCUGGACAGUACAGAAAGUGCACAAGUGGGAGAGAGUGGAGGGGAAGGCAUCAGAAAGGACCUAGAGCUGGGACUCUUUCAAGGAUCACCCGAAGCACAACCACGCUACAGUAUAUGAACAAGGCUGUUGGUUCUAACAUUUUAGUGCCCCCCUUGUUAGAAAUCCCAUUCUGUGUUCC